rnacentral:rRNA from 1 species
ACGCAACCUUUCGGGGUUGAGUGGCGGACGGGUGAGUAACGCGUGAGAAUCUGCCUUUAGGUCCGGGACAACCACUGGAAACGGUGGCUAAUACCGGAUGUGCCGCAACGUGAAAGGGGAAACCCGCCUGAAGAUGAGCUCGCGUCUGAUUAGCUAGUUGGUGAGGUAAAGGCUCACCAAGGCGACGAUCAGUAGCUGGUCUGAGAGGAUGACCAGCCACACUGGGACUGAGACACGGCCCAGACUCCUACGGGAGGCAGCAGUGGGGAAUUUUCCGCAAUGGGCGAAAGCCUGACGGAGCAAGACCGCGUGAGGGAAGAAGGCUCUUGGGUCGUAAACCUCUUUUGUCAGGGAAGAACACAAUGACGGUACCUGACGAAUCAGCCUCGGCUAACUCCGUGCCAGCAGCCGCGGUAAUACGGAGGAGGCAAGCGUUAUCCGGAAUUAUUGGGCGUAAAGCGUCCGUAGGUGGCUAGUCAAGUCUGCGGUCAAAGACUGGGGCUUAACCCUGGAAAGGCCGUGGAAACUGACGAGCUAGAGUGCAGUAGGGGUAGAGGGAAUUCCCGGUGUAGCGGUGAAAUGCGUAGAGCUCGGGAAGAACAUCGGUGGCGAAAGCGCUCUACUGGACUGCAACUGACACUCAGGGACGAAAGCUAGGGGAGCGAAUGGGAUUAGAUACCCCAGUAGUCCUAGCCGUA